rnacentral:rRNA from 1 species
UACGUAGGGGGCAAGCGUUGUCCGGAAUCAUUGGGCGUAAAGAGCGUGUAGGCGGCUUGGUAAGUCCGCUGUGAAAGUCCAGGGCUCAACCCUGGAAAGCCGGUGGAAACUGUCAAGCUUGAGUCCGGAAGAGGCGAGUGGAAUUCCUGGUGUAGCGGUGAAAUGCGCAGAUAUCAGGAGGAACACCAAUGGCGAAGGCAGCUCGCUGGGACGGUACUGACGCUGAGACGCGAAAGCCAGGGGAGCGAACGGG